CGCAGCUAUGUCAAAUUCGAUGCCUGCCUAUCCUGUGGCCGGCACUGGUCCAAAAGGCUGCCACAGCAACACUGUGACCCAUGGGCCCUGAUUCCCAGCACUGGGCCUCAGGGAUAAAUCUGAUCACAGACACCA
ensembl:snoRNA small nucleolar RNA, H/ACA box 5A